CAUUUUGAGAGUGUCACUUUGC
rnacentral:siRNA from 1 species